GAUCCUACGGGAGGCAGCAGUAGGGAAUAUUGGUCAAUGGACGCAAGUCUGAACCAGCCAUGCCGCGUGCAGGACGAAGGCCCUCUGGGUUGUAAACUGCUUUUGUACGGGAAGAACAGCCUCCACGAGUUGGGGGUUUGACGGUACUGUAAGAAUAAGGAUCGGCUAACUACGUGCCAGCAGCCGCGGUAAUACGUAGGAUCCGAGCGUUGUCCGGAUUUAUUGGGUUUAAAGGGUGCGCAGGCGGCCCGAUAAGUCAGUGGUGAAAGCCGGCAGCUUAACUGUCGAAUUGCCAUUGAUACUGUUGGGCUUGAGUAUAGUUGAGGUUGGCGGAAUGUAUCAUGUAGCGGUGAAAUGCAUAGAUAUGAUACAGAACACCGAUUGCGAAGGCAGCUGACUAAGCUAUUACUGACGCUCAUGCACGAAAGCGUGGGGAUCAAACAGGAUUAGAUACCCUGGUAGUCCACGCCGUAAACGUUGAUAACUCGAUGUUGGCGAUAUAAUGUCAGCGUCUUAGCGAAAGCGUUAAGUUAUCCACCUGGGGAGUACGCCGGCAACGGUGAAACUCAAAUGAAUUGACGGAAUC
rnacentral:rRNA from 1 species